UCAGUAGCUCAGCUGGUUAGAGCGCCGGCCUGUCACGCCGGAGGUCGUGGGUUCGAGCCCCAUCUG
rnacentral:tRNA from 1 species